rnacentral:rRNA from 1 species
GACGAACGCUGGCGGCGUGCUUAACACAUGCAAGUCGAACGGAAAGGCCCUGCUUUUGUGGGGUGCUCGAGUGGCGAACGGGUGAGUAACACGUGAGUAACCUGCCCUUGACUUUGGGAUAACUUCAGGAAACUGGGGCUAAUACCGGAUAGGAGCUCCUGCUGCAUGGUGGGGGUUGGAAAGUUUCGGCGGUUGGGGAUGGACUCGCGGCUUAUCAGCUUGUUGGUGGGGUAGUGGCUUACCAAGGCUUUGACGGGUAGCCGGCCUGAGAGGGUGACCGGCGACAUUGGGACUGAGAUACGGCCCAGACUCCUACGGGAGGCAGCAGGGGGGAAUAUUGCACAAUGGGCGGAAGCCUGAUGCAGCAACGCCGCGUGCGGGAUGACGGCCUUCGGGUUGUAAACCGCUUUCGGCUGUGACGAAGCGUGAGUGACGGUAAUGGGUAAAGAAGCACCGGCUAACUACGUG